rnacentral:rRNA from 1 species
AUUGAACGCUGGCGGCAGGCCUAACACAUGCAAGUCGAGCGGAUGAAAGGAGCUUGCUCCUGGAUUCAGCGGCGGACGGGUGAGUAAUGCCUAGGAAUCUGCCUGGUAGUGGGGGAUAACGUCCGGAAACGGGCGCUAAUACCGCAUACGUCCUGAGGGAGAAAGUGGGGGAUCUUCGGACCUCACGCUAUCAGAUGAGCCUAGGUCGGAUUAGCUAGUUGGUGGGGUAAAGGCCUACCAAGGCGACGAUCCGUAACUGGUCUGAAAGGAUGAUCAGUCACACUGGAACUGAGACACGGUCCAGACUCCUACGGGAGGCAGCAGUGGGGAAUAUUGGACAAUGGGCGAAAGCCUGAUCCAGCCAUGCCGCGUGUGUGAAGAAGGUCUUCGGAUUGUAAAGCACUUUAAGUUGGGAGGAAGGGCAGUAAGUUAAUACCUUGCUGUUUUGACGUUACCAACAGAAUAAGCACCGGCUAACUUCGUG